rnacentral:rRNA from 1 species
AGUGAACGCUGGCGGUAGGCCUAACACAUGCAAGUCGAACGGCAGCACAGUAAGAGCUUGCUCUUACGGGUGACGAGUGGCGGACGGGUGAGGAAUACAUCGGAAUCUACUUUUUCGUGGGGGCUAACGUAGGGAAACUUACGCUAAUACCGCAUACGACCUACGGGUGAAAGCAGGGGAUCUUCGGACCUUGCGCGAUUGAAUGAGCCGAUGUCGGAUUAGCUAGUUGGCGGGGUAAAGGCCCACCAAGGCGACGAUCCGUAGCUGGUCUGAGAGGAUGAUCAGCCACACGGGAACUGAGACACGGUCCAGACUCCUACGGGAGGCAGCAGUGGGGAAUAUUGGACAAUGGGCGCAAGCCUGAUCCAGCCAUACCGCGUGGGUGAAGAAGGCCUUCGGGUUGUAAAGCCCUUUUGUUGGGAAAGAAAAGCAGCAGGUUAAUACCCCGCUGUUCUGACGGUACCCAAAGAAUAAGCACCGGCUAACUUCGUG